rnacentral:rRNA from 1 species
UUUAACUGAGCGUUCAGUUACUUGACGUAGACCCGAAACCGGGCGACCUACCCAUGAGCAGGAUGAAGCGAAAGUAAAAUUUCGUGGAGGUCCGAACCCACGAGCGUUGAAAAGCUCGGGGAUGACUUGUGGGUAGCGGUGAAAUUCCAAUCGAGCCCGGAGAUAGCUGGUUCUCCCCGAAAUAGCUUUAGGGCUAGCCUCAAGGUGAGAGAUACGGAGGUAGAGCACUGAAUGUCCUAGGGGGUAUUGCACCUACCGAAGACUAUCAAACUCCGAAUGCCGUCAUCUUAUACUUGGGAGUCAGACUGUGGGUGAUAAGAUUCAUAGUCGAAAGGGCAACAGCCCAGAUCGUCAGCUAAGGUCCCUAAAUGUAAGUUAAGUGGUAAAGGAUGUGGGAUUGCACAGACAACCAGGAUGUUGGCUUAGAAGCAGCCACUCAUUCAAAGAGUGCGUAAUAGCUCACUGGUCGAGUGAUCCUGCGCCGAAGAUUUCCGGGGCUAAAACUUACUACCGAAGCUACGGCAUCAGUAAUGAUGGGUAGGGGAGCUUCCCAUACGGGUUGAAGCAUGAUCGUAAGGACAUGUGGACAGUAUGGGAGUGAGAAUGUUGGCAUGAGUAGCGAGAUGUGGGUGAGAAUCCCACAGGCCGUAAACCCAAGGUUUCCAGGGGAAGGUUCGUCCGCCCUGGGUUAGUCGGGACCUAAGCUGAGGCCGAAAGGCGUAGGUGAUGGACAACAGGUUGAUAUUCCUGUACUACCGAUAACCGUUUGAGAGAAGGGAUGACACAGUAGGAUAAGCUAAGCACACUGUUGGUUAUGUGUGCCCAAGCAUUGAGGCAGUCAAAGUAGGUAAAUCCGCUUUGAUAAUGCUGGGAUGUGAUGGGGAGCGAAAUUUAGUAGCGAAGUAGCUGAUUUCACACUGUCAAGAAAAGUCUCUAUCGAGGUUAAAGGUACCCGUACCGCAAACCGACACAGGUGGGUGAGGAGAGUAUCCUAAGGCCAGCGAGAGAACUGUUGUUAAGGAACUCGGCAAAAUGACCCCGUAACUUAGGGAUAAGGGGUGCCACCAUCAGGUGGCCGCAGAGAAUAGGCCCAAGCGACUGUUUACCAAAAACAUAGGUUUCUGCUAAGUCGCAAGACGAUGUAUAGGAGCUGACGCCUGCCCGGUGCUGGAAGGUUAAGGGGAUCUGUUAGAGCAAUCGAAGCAGUGAACUUAAGCCCCAGUAAACGGCGGCCGUAACUAUAACGGUCCUAAGGUAGCGAAAUUCCUUGUCGGGUAAGUUCCGACCCGCACGAAAGGCGUAACGAUUUGGGCACUGUCUCAACAACAGACUCGGUGAAAUUGUAAUUCCGGUGAAGAUGCCGGAUACCUGCGACAGGACGGAAAGACCCCAUGGAGCUUUACUGUAGCUUGACAUUGGGUCUUGGUACUACAUGUACAGGAUAGGUGGGAGGCUUUGAAACCAGGACGCCAGUUUUGGCGGAGCCAUCCUUGGGAUACCACCCUUGUA